rnacentral:rRNA from 1 species
GAGUUUGAUCCUGGCUCAGAUUGAACGCUGGCGGCAUGCCUUACACAUGCAAGUCGAACGGCAGCACGGGAGCUUGCUCCUGGUGGCGAGUGGCGAACGGGUGAGUAAUGCAUCGGAACGUAUCCUGGAGUGGGGGAUAACGUAGCGAAAGUUACGCUAAUACCGCAUAUUCUGUGAGCAGGAAAGCGGGGGACCUUCGGGCCUCGCGCUCUUGGAGCGGCCGAUGUCGGAUUAGCUAGUUGGUGAGGUAAAGGCUCACCAAGGCGACGAUCCGUAGCAGGUCUGAGAGGAUGAUCUGCCACACUGGAACUGAGACACGGUCCAGACUCCUACGGGAGGCAGCGAGUGGGGAAUUUUGGACAAUGGGGGCAACCCUGAUCCAGCCAUGCCGCGUGAGUGAAGAAGGCCUUACGG